AUCUUUGGACGCAUUUCUCACAGGAGUUGAUGUAGCAUUACAUGUUCUGCUUGCUGCAUUUUUGGGAGAAGUGCAUGCAGAUACUCAAGUGACUCACAGACAUGCAACAGCUCAGAAGGCCAUCCUGUUUGUCUUUCAGUGAGAAGGAAAAGCCAAUAAACAUGUUGAACAUCAGGCAAAUUUGAACCACCAUGGGACAUUAUCUUGUGUCAUGAACAGACCACAGUUGACUCUCGGUUCCAGCAAGUGGGAGCUGGGGGGAGUGAAAAUCGGCACGCAGCUGUGGACAGCAACUGAUAACACAAGCGUCCUGAGUGCGCAAAACAGAGGCGAAUCCCUCUCAACCCAGUGACCCCACAUCUGGGACUCUUCCAGAGGAAUAACGCCAAACACUGGAAAUCAUUAGGUGCCUCCACCCCUGAGGCAGAGCAAGGGGGCGAUGGGGCAUCACCCUUCAUCUAGUGGCUGCCACGGAAGUGAUGGUGGGUGCCCAAUAGGCAGGCCCUAUUGAUCUGGUUUGUUUAUUUGAGACAGGGUCUCACUCUGUUGCCCAGGCUGGAGUGCAGU
rnacentral:lncRNA from 1 species